CCAGGACAUCGGCUGCGCUCAGGAGCAACCGAGAUGUAAUGGGGUCCGGAUGCGCCGUUCGCUCCAGAAGAUCGGUCGGCGUGAAAGUAUCGGU
rnacentral:sRNA from 1 species